rnacentral:rRNA from 1 species
GAUGAACGCUGGCGGCGUGCCUAAUACAUGCAAGUCGAGCGAACGGACGAGAAGCUUGCUUCUCUGAUGUUAGCGGCGGACGGGUGAGUAACACGUGGAUAACCUACCUAUAAGACUGGGAUAACUUCGGGAAACCGUAGCUAAUACCGGAUAAUAUUUUGAACCGCAUGGUUCAAAAGUGAAAGACGGUCUUGCUGUCACUUAUAGAUGGAUCCGCGCUGCAUUAUCUAAUUGGUAAGGUAACGGCUUACCAAGGCAACGAUGCAUAGCCGACCUGAGAGGGUGAUCGGCCACACUGGAACUGAGACACGGUCCAGACUCCUACGGGAGGCAGCAGUAGGGAAUCUUCCGCAAUGGGCGAAAGCCUGACGGAGCAACGCCGCGUGAGUGAUGAAGGUCUUCGGAUCGUAAAACUCUGUUAUUAGGGAAGAACAUAUGUGUAAGUAACUGUGCACAUCUUGACGGUACCUAAUCAGAAAGCCACGGCUAACUACGUG